AAGUUAAUAUGCUAACAUGAGUUUAAAAAAAAAGAAAAAAAGAAAAUCAAGUUAAAUGGGAUAAACAUGGCAUGAGAACGGCAUGUUUCAAUGUGGGCUUGGGCUUUCGGUCGGGUUGAGAUCAAUGAUUUUGAUAAAUGGGCCUGCAUAACCCAAUUAAUUAAAUGGACCGACUCGGCCCAAAUAACUUAGUUGCAUGAAUUUAAAUGGGUUGGGCCGGCACGGCACGACACGACCUGAUUGACACCUUCAUGACCCCCACCCUCCUUACCCAUCAACUGUCGUCGAGCACCCCAAACCCACCCAAAAUUGAUCUCUACAGCCAAUCACUCCCUACCCACUG
rnacentral:lncRNA from 1 species